AGCUUUGCGCAGUGGCAGUAUCAUAGCCAACGAGGUUUAUCUGAGGCGCGAUUAUUGCUAAUUGAAACAAACAGAAGUAAAAAUAGUAUACUUUUAAACAUAUCCAAAGUUUCAUUAUUAAAACAUUAAACGUAAA